rnacentral:rRNA from 1 species
AUGGCCUCCACUGUGCCCCUCUUCUCUCUACUGUCAUUGUUCUUGUGUUGUGUUCUUGCCAAGGGAGACAUGAAAGUGGCCCCUUCGAGGAAUGGGGCCGACCAUAGAGGCCGGUCUCUACAGUCAAAUCAUGUUUUCAGUGUGCUCGGAUAUGGGGCUUACGGCGAUGGACGCCAUGACGACACAAAGGCAUUGUCGAAGGCGUGGGCUGCAGCUUGCUCCUCUUUGAAUCCUAGCAUCGUGCUCAUCCCCGGGGGCAAGAAAUACCUAACCAAGCAUUUAACCUUCUCUGGCCCAUGCAAAUCCAGUAUCACGUUGAUGAUUGAAGGUACUUUGGUAGCCCCUCCAAAGAGAUUAUAUUGGAUAGAAGAUACCAUUAGGCACUGGAUUUUGUUCAGAUCUGUGAGUGAUCUUACCGUCACCGGUGGUGGGACCAUCGAUGGAAAUGGAAAGAUUUGGUGGCAGAACUCCUGCAAAGUAAACUCCAAACUCCCUUGCAGGCAGGCUCCAACGGCUUUGACGUUCUAUUCCUGCACAAAUCUGAGAGUGGACAAUUUAGAACUGUUGAACAGCCAACAAAUCCACAUAUCGGUGGAGCAUUGCAGUGAUGUAAGGAUGUCACGCCUGUCAAUCACAGCACCCGGCACUAGCCCCAACACCGACGGUAUCCAUAUCGCCCAUAGCAAGGAUGUGAAAGUCAUGGACUGCGCAAUCAAGACCGGGGACGACUGCAUGUCAAUCGAGGAUGGAACCGAGAACCUACAUGUCAACAACAUCGUGUGUGGACCGGGGCAUGGGAUAAGCAUCGGGAGCUUAGGCGAUCGCAACUCUCAAGCUCAGGUUGCAAACAUCACCAUCGACGGGGCGCGACUGCGUGGCACGACGAAUGGGGCUCGUAUCAAGACAUGGCAGGGCGGGCGGGGCUACGCAAAGAACAUCGUGUUCCAGAACAUGAUGAUGGAUAAUGUACAGAACCCGAUCAUCAUCGACCAGAACUACUGCGACUCGGCUACACCAUGUAAUGAACAGAAAUCGGCCGUGGAGGUGAGCAAUGUGCUGUUCAAGAACAUCAGGGGGACAAGUGCCUCAAGAGAGGCCAUCAAGCUCAGUUGCAGUAGAGCCGUGCCUUGCUAUGGGAUAGCCUUGCACAACGUCAGGCUUACCCUAAAGCGAGGAGGCGGUGAUGCAGAGAGCACAUGUGAGAAUGCAAAAUGGAGGAAACUGGGAACGGUCAUGCCACAGCCAUGUAGUCUCAACGACUGA